CUCUGUAAGUGCCCUUCCCAUUGUACCUCUUUUUUAUGUGUUGAAUCACUGGUUCCCAAGGCUGCCAAAUUGAUCUUUACCAACAAAGCUUGACAAAGCAGUGUUCGAGGGUGUGCCUACGUGAAACACAUGGUCUCCAUCACCCUUUCCUUCUAGAGCCGGUACCAGGGAGGCAAGACCAGGAUCACAUUCUUGGCCCCGUUUGAAGGAACGACGAUUUUCAGGAUUGACGUGGAUUGAUUUUCUUGAACAUGAAGUUAACUACAUGUGAAGCUGAAGCUAAGCCAAUGUGCUUUUCCAGAAGAAGGCCAAGGCACAUCAAUCCAACACCAACCCACCUGCUAUGGAACUAAGGGAGGAAGGAAAAAGAACAUUGCCCCUGAAGGCUCGAGACGCACAAACAGGAAGCUGAGUUCGGGAAAGGUGGUUGUCUCCUUGACGCACACCAUAGUGCCCAUCUUUUCUAUUCUAAUGUCUUGUUCCUUGGACAGACACCUUGUGCUUUGUGCAGACCAUCAAUGCCUUUUCCUCCUGUUCGGCCAGGAGAUGAAUGCUUUCUAAACAUUGGUAAUAACAAUGAGAUCAGAGAGUACUGCUCUAUUCAUUGCUCUUCUAAAUCUUGUGAGUGCAAGGCAUGCAAAGUGUUAACUGAAACCCCAUGGCCUACUCGCCAUCGUCAACUUCCUCUUUGCGCUCGCCGUCAACGCUCCCAUGGGCGGAGCCACAAGGGGAUGGAUGUACAUAUGUACACCCGUUAAUCUAGCCUGCAUCUGACAAGGGAUGAGGGGACGAGGACAAGAAGGCCACGGGUAUCAUGGUGGAGAAGGAGGACAACAAUGACAUUGAGGAAGGGCAGACAUGCCGCUCCAUGGCAACUACGAUGACCAGUUCCUUACUCACAAUACUGGAGAUCUUCAUACAACCCCAUAUGCAACAACACAAUUUCCAUUACUUAGCAUGCAUCAUAAUGAAUCAAAUUAGUAUCUCUUU